GCCUACUAGUAUCCAUGGGGAUCCAUAGGGGUUCCCCGCUACCCAUGAACCAUUAACAUUACAACCUGAUUCUAUGGCCAUCCCCAUACCCCGUCCGGUAUGGGCGCCAAAACCAUGAACCUCAAUACCCCGUCCGGUAUGAGGGUGAAAAGGGCCGUCCCCAUACCCCGUCCGGUAUGGGCGCCAAAACACAUAAGGUCUCCAUACCCCGUCCGGAAUGAGAGACCACGCUCCCGGUAGGGUUCCCUACGGACCUGGUCCGUCCACCAUCUCCCAAGAUAUCUAGUCACGCUUUCCACAUUAUCCAUUUAUCAAUUCACAUAAUCUUUUUACCUUUUUCCUUGAUCUCAAUCAUCCAAUCAUACAAAACAUGUAAACCAGUAAUUGACACCAAAUAAGAUAAUACAGUACUGGGUUCACCAUAAUACAAACCAUAAUAAAAGAAACCAUAGUUCAUGCAUACGAGACCGUAAUAUAAUUACAUCAAACAUCAUGCUGCAUUUAAUACUGGAAAUUAGAUCAAACAAUAACAGACCAACACUGUAUCAGGUUCGGGCUCCAUUGGCAACCUUAAUCAGUUAUACAUCUAUAAAGUCACAAAACAUAAUUUAAUUAUUUAUUUAGCUUUAAUACCGUGAUAGGAAACAGGGUGAGGGGUCCUUACCUGUUUUGGGGUCUGAAUUCGACUCUACAGUGUGGCUACAGGCUGUUCCUAAUUUUCCUGAAUUCUUUCCAGAAAAUUAAAAC
rnacentral:lncRNA from 1 species